rnacentral:tRNA from 1 species
GGAGAGUUGGGAGAGUGGUUUAAUCCAACUGACUUGAAAUCAGUCGUACAGCAAUGUACCGGGGGUUCGAAUCCCUCACUCUCCG